rnacentral:rRNA from 1 species
UACGAAGGGGGCUAGCGUUGUUCGGAAUCACUGGGCGUAAAGCGCACGUAGGCGGACUUUUAAGUCAGAGGUGAAAUCCCAAGGCUCAACCUUGGAACUGCCUUUGAUACUGGGAGUCUUGAGGUCGGAAGAGGUGAGUGGAACUGCGAGUGUAGAGGUGAAAUUCGUAGAUAUUCGCAAGAACACCAGUGGCGAAGGCGGGUCUCUGGGCCGAUACUGACGCUGAGGAGCGAAAGCGUGGGGAGCGAACAGG